UUGCCAUUUGUCACUGUUACUGUUUUUUAAUUCAGGAAGCACAUGCACAAAGCAUGCAUGGAGCUGCUUUGUGGAGCAGACGGCGCCCCCCUGGCAUCUCGGAGGGUCGCACAGGGAGCAGAGAGACAGCCUUGCGGCCUCUGGCCUCUGCAGGAGGACGAGGGCUGUGAACAAGGACAUUGUUGGAGUGGUGAGUGCGCUGUCACAUGAACAAGAGGCACCACUCGCCCUGUCCGAAGAGGCUCCCUGCUGGGGCGGCCACGACAAAAGGGAAGGUGUUCUCGGCACAGGGGUCGGGGUGGCCAAGGCCACAUGGCAGAGACCCGGCAGAGGACCAGACAGGAUGGAGCGGGGUCUGGCG
rnacentral:lncRNA from 1 species